AUGCAGAAAGAAACAUAUCCAAAUCCUUGCUUUAAAAUCAGAGUACUUGUCAAACACAAGGAAAAAGGAAGGUUAAUUAAGUCUGUGGUCCUAUCUUACCUUGAGAAAUUAGUAAACUGGGUCUCUCCUCACCUGCCUGUCAAAAUCACUUCUGGAAUAAAGGGGAAGAGCACUGGGGUUCAACCACAGCAGAGUGGAAGAGGAAGGACUGACAAGAUCGUUUAUUUUGCAGAACAGAGGAAGGAGAGUUCAUACAGACACAUGCUCCUGCAGGUCUUGGACAAGCAUUUAAACCCAGCUGUCACAGAAUACUCUCGUAUCAUGAACUGUGGAGUCUACUGAUGUACGCGGUUACAUGAUCACAGGCAAGGAGCACCUAACAGCAGAACAACCCAGUGAUGUGGAUGUUGCUGCAGGUUAGAUUAAGAACCACUGCAAAUUAAGAGCAGCUGCAGCAGAACCCCCCAGAAAUAGCAGAAAGAGCCAAAGGAGCUUGGAGCCCCUCUCUACAAAAGGCCACCUACAGCACCUGACGGGAGGAACUACUGAGCAUCAGCAUCACAAACACGAAUCAAACUGUUACUAAGCAUUCACUUGUGCAUUUAUAUUCAUGCUUCCAGCUACAAGUAAAGACAUAGGAAGCUUGAUUGCCAGGUUUUUCAUUAAAGCCAGAAGGUCCUAUUCUAUCUCUGCAGGAUACCAUUGUUGACAAGUAAUUUUAAGAUUGUUUCAUGGCCACAGCAUAGAGCCAAAUUAUCCUUAAAAGUACUGUGAACUAUUUUGAAAUUGGCUCUUCCUUUAUCUAACUGAAGGGGCUGAUUUCAGAAUUCUUCUUCCUUCCCCUCCCUUCAGUUUUUAAUGGAAUAUCUGUACUUGCACACCACCCACCUGUAGUGAAGUUUAUGGUGUAGUGAAGGCUCGUGGGGUAAGCCAGGAUAAUGGAGAAUGUGUUCUCUUCUGAUUGAUGAGUAAGAUUUACUGGAGUCACUUCUUAUAACUUUGGGAUAUCUACGCAGACAUGGGACUAACCUGUGUUUUGUAAGUGCCAUUAAAAUGCUAUAAAACUAGUACAGUAAAUUGCAA
rnacentral:lncRNA from 1 species